rnacentral:rRNA from 1 species
AUUGAACGCUGGCGGCAUGCCUAACACAUGCAAGUCGAACGAUGACGAAACAGCUUGCUGUUUCUGAUUAGUGGCGGACGGGUGAGUAAUGUAUAGGGAUCUGCCUGACAGGUGGGGACAACGGCCGGAAACGGCUGCUAAUACCGCAUACGCUCUACGGAGGAAAGUGGGGGACCUUUCGGGGCCUCACGCUGACAGAUGAACCUAUAUCAGAUUAGCUAGAUGGUGGGGUAAAGGCCUACCAUGGCGACGAUCUGUAGCUGGUCUGAGAGGAUGAUCAGCCACACUGGGACUGAGACACGGCCCAG